GUCAACAACCCCACCCUGUAGAGGGAUGGGGCUUGUAAGAGACAGUUCUUACUGAGAAUUGACUAGCCCAAGUAAAGCCACUAACUGUUACGGACUACCGAAUGCUUCCCCAGUUCGGUUUAUCUCCAAGCCUUAUUGUCAGGGCGUUAGGAAAGCUAAGACAUGCUGUUAGCGGUGGGCGAGGGGACUGAUAACUUUACUCUUGAG
rnacentral:sRNA from 1 species